rnacentral:lncRNA from 1 species
AAAAGAAAGAGAAAGGGGGUGGUUUAGUUAGAGAAAGAGAGUGAGGGGAGUCAUGAUUUUUUUUCAAAAAAAAAAAAUCAAAAGCAAACCAGCCAAAGAGUGACAUGUGGCAGAGGGAGUAAAAGUAAAAAAAAAAAAAAUCCUCCUCUUCUUCCUCACAAGAAGCAACAACAACAUAUCACCUCUUAUUUAAAAACAAAAACAAAAACCAAUAAACAAAACUCUUACUCUCUCAAGUCUCAUGAACAAGCAACACAACAAUAAAAAUUCAAUAAUAUAAAACUUGGUUAUAGUUCAAUCUUCCUCUCAGUUACUCUCAAACUCAAAAUCUUACGGUGGUGCGGUGAGCCAAGUUUGGUUGUUCCAAGCUUGAAUAUUGAGGUGGCACGGGUUGUUGGUGGUCUGGCGUGGGGUUUUUUUGGCGCGACUCAAGGUGUACGAUGGUGGUGAGGAAAGUGUGAAAGUAAAAAAAGGUGAGUAAGUAUGUGUUUGAUGAUGAUGAAGAGUGAAGUUUGUUUGGAGUUUUUGAAGACAAUUGUGGGAGUGAAGAAGUUCUUGGUUAUGUUGGUAUUAUUUUGAUGAUUAUUACUAUGUUGUGUAUGAGAAGAAGAAGAGAUGGUUAUGUGUUGUUAUGAAGAGAGGAAGAGGAAAAUGAGUGUUGGUUUAUGUUGGAGAAAAAGUAAAAAUGGAAAGGAAGAAGAAAAAGGAAAAUAAAGUGAAAGGAAAAGAAGUUAUGUUAUGUGGAAAAGAAAAU